UGAUUCAAGGAUAAAGACGGUUUGGGCUGUCACUUACAGAUGGACCCGCGGCGUUAGCUAGUUGGUGGGGUAAUGGCUCACCAAGGCGACGAUGCGUAGCCGACCUGAGAGGGUGAUCGGCCACACUGGGACUGAGACACGGCCCAGACUCCUACGGGAGGCAGCAGUAGGGAAUCUUCCGCAAUGGACGAAAGUCUGACGGAGCAACGCCGCGUGAGUGAUGAAGGUUUUCGGAUCGUAAAGCUCUGUUGUUAGGGAAGAACAAGUGCGAGAGUAACUGCUCGCACCUUGACGGUACCUAACCAGAAAGCCACGGCUAACUACGUGCCAGCAGCCGCGGUAAUACGUAGGUGGCAAGCGUUGUCCGGAAUUAUUGGGCGUAAAGGGCUCGCAGGCGGUUUCUUAAGUCUGAUGUGAAAGCCCCCGGCUCAACCGGGGAGGGUCAUUGGAAACUGGGAAACUUGAGUGCAGAAGAGGAGAGUGGAAUUCCACGUGUAGCGGUGAAAUGCGUAGAGAUGUGGAGGAACACCAGUGGCGAAGGCGACUCUCUGGUCUGUAACUGACGCUGAGGAGCGAAAGCGUGGGGAGCGAACAGGAUUAGAUACCCUGGUAGUCCACGCCGUAAACGAUGAGUGCUAAGUGUUAGGGGGUUUCCGCCCCUUAGUGCUGCAGCUAACGCAUUAAGCACUCCGCCUGGGGAGUACGGUCGCAAGACUGAAACUCAAAGGAAUUGACGGGGGCCCGCACAAGCGGUGGAGCAUGUGGUUUAAUUCGAAGCAACGCGAAGAACCUUACCAGGUCUUGACAUCCUCUGACAACCCUAGAGAUAGGGCUUUCCCUUCGGGGACAGAGUGACAGGUGGUGCAUGGUUGUCGUCAGCCUC
rnacentral:rRNA from 1 species